rnacentral:rRNA from 1 species
UCAUUACUGAAUUGUCAAACGGGUUGUUGCUGGCCCUCAUAGGGGGCAUGUGCACACUCUGUUUACACAUCCACUCACACCUGUGCACCCUCUGUAGUUCUAUGGUCUGGGGGACCCUGUCUUCCUUCUGUGGUUCUACGUCUCUACACACACACUGUAAUAAAGUUUUAUGGAAUGUACAUCGCGUCUAACGCAAUACAAUACAACUUUCAGCAACGGAUCUCUUGGCUCUCGCAUCGAUGAAGAACGCAGCGAAAUGCGAUAAGUAAUGUGAAUUGCAGAAUUCAGUGAAUCAUCGAAUCUUUGAACGCACCUUGCGCCCCUUGGCUAUUCCGAGGGGCAUGCCUGUUUGAGUAUCAUGAACACCUCAACUCUCAUGGUUUGCCAUGAUGAGUUGGACUCUGGGGGUUUUGCUGGCCUGUGGUCGGCUCCUCUCAAAUUAAUCAGCCUCCCAGUGUUUGGUGGCAUCACGGGUGUGAUAAAUAUCUACGCUCGCUGUUGUCUGCCAGGUAACCUUUGGUCACAAAGGUUUGCUGGAGCUCACAGAUGUCUCUCCUCAGCGAGGACAGCUUUUUUAACGUUCGAUCUCA